GGCCUCGUAGCUCAGUUGGCUAGAGCGUUGGCUGUACUUAACCUUCCCCAUGCUGGCGUGGGUUCGUAUCCCACCGAGGCCA
rnacentral:tRNA from 1 species